rnacentral:rRNA from 1 species
AUACCAGCACCCCGAGUGGUCGGGACGUUUAUUGGGCCUAAAGCAUCCGUAGCCGGUUCUACAAGUCUUCCGUUAAAUCCACCUGCUUAACAGAUGGGCUGCGGAAGAUACUAUAGAGCUAGGAGGCGGGAGAGGCAAGCGGUACUCGAUGGGUAGGGGUAAAAUCCGUUGAUCCAUUGAAGACCACCAGUGGCGAAGGCGGCUUGCCAGAACGCGCUCGACGGUGAGGGAUGAAAGCUGGGGGAGCAAACCGGAUUAGAUACCCGGGUAGUCCCAGCUGUAAACGAUGCAGACUCGGUGAUGAGUUGGCUUCUUGCCAACUCAGUGCCGCAGGGAAGCCGUUAAGUUUGCCGCCUGGGGAGUACGGUCGCAAGACUGAAACUCAAAUGAAUUGGCGGGG